CUCAAAACAGACAGAGCAGCAGCAGAUGAGCUUCAAUGCAGUUAAUUACAUGCAUGAUAAAUAGGUAUAAUAACCUAGUAACCUAUGUUUUCACCCAGGGAGGAGAUUUUGAAGCCAUCUCUGACACCAACAGCCCAGUGAGCAGCAGCUGCCAGAAAAACUCAAGAUACUGAACAUCACCAGCACAGGACCUUAGUCUGACAUACUGAAAAAUGAUUAGGUUUUUUUCCUCUACAAAGAAGAACAUGUUGAGGUGAAGGGCUGGAAAUUGCAAGUUGCGUUGAAUGCCAGAAGAAUUCUGGAAGGACAACUGCAGAGAGAUAACGUUCUGGGAUUUCAAUGUAGAGCAAAAGCUUCACUGCCACCCUGGGACUUGUGUUUCCUGCUGCUCAAGGAUCCCGAUGCUUGUAAUGAAGAGCAAGACAAGAACAAUAUACCCAGAUACCUGCUGGAAAUCAAGCAACUGAUCUUGAUGCUUUUCAACCAAGUCCCAGCCUCAACAACAGAUUAAAGUAUGAAUGAUUAAGUGAACAUUAAGGCGACUUCCAUUUUGCCUUUCUAACAGAAUAUUCUUUUUUUUUUUUAAGGUGUUGUAGGGAAAGGUGGAGUGGGACAAAAAUGCCAUCCACCUCUUUUGAAUAACAGGUAUAGGUUUGCUUUAUUACGUCUUCUGCUAUUGUAAUCAACAGGAAAAUCAGCCUUUGUCCAUUUCCCCAGCUCCACCAUGCAAGACUCGGGAAGACUGACAUAUGGGUGUCCUGUUUGUCACAUCAGUGUUAGGCUGCUGUUCCCUUCAUGCACGGGGAAGAGUGGC